GACGAACGCUGGCGGCGUGCUUAACACAUGCAAGUCGAACGAAGUGGCGAACGGGUGAGUAACGCGUAAUCAACCUGCCCUUCAGAGGGGGACAACAGUUGGAAACGACUGCUAAUACCGCAUACUGAAGGAGGGGUUUGCGUCUGAUUAGCUAGUUGGGGGGGUAACGGCCCACCAAGGCGAUGAUCAGUAGCCUGUCUGAGAGGAUGAACGGGCACAAUGGGACUUGGACACGGCCCAGAACCCUACGGGAGGCAGCAGUGGGGAAACUUCCGCAAUGGAGGGAAGGCUGACGGAGCAAAGCCGCGGGGGUGAUGACGGCCUUCGGGGUGUAAAGCUCUGUUAAGCGGGACGCGGUACCGGAAUAGAAAGCCACGGCUAACUACGUGCCAGCAGCCGCGGUAAUAC
rnacentral:rRNA from 1 species